rnacentral:rRNA from 1 species
GACGAACGCUGGCGGCGUGCUUAACACAUGCAAGUCGAACGGAAAGGCCCUGCUUUUGUGGGGUGCUCGAGUGGCGAACGGGUGAGUAACACGUGAGUAACCUGCCCUUGACUUUGGGAUAACUUCAGGAAACUGGGGCUAAUACCGGAUAGGAGCUCCUGCUGCAUGGUGGGGGUUGGAAAGUUUCGGCGGUUGGGGAUGGACUCGCGGCUUAUCAGCUUGUUGGUGGGGUAGUGGCUUACCAAGGCUUUGACGGGUAGCCGGCCUGAGAGGGUGACCGGCCACAUUGGGACUGAGAUACGGCCCAGAAUCCUACGGGAGGCAGCAGUGGGGAAUAUUGCACAGUGAGCGGACGCCUGAUGCAGCAACGCCGCGUGCGGGAUGACGGCCUUCGGGUUGUAAACCGCUUUGGACUGUGACGAAGCGUGAGUGACGGUAAUGGGUAAAGAAGCACCGGCUAACUACGUG